GGCCGCUUGGUGGAAUUGGUAGACACAAGGCACUCAAAAUGCCUCGGGCUUUGCUCAUGCCGGUUCGAGUCCGGCAGCGGCUA
rnacentral:tRNA from 1 species